CACGUAGGGGGCAAGCGUUGUCCGGAUUUAUUGGGCGUAAAGAGCUCGUAGGCGGUUCGGCAAGUCGGGUGUGAAACCCCCAGGCUCAACCUGGGGACGCCACCCGAUACUGCUGUGACUUGAGUCCGGUAGGGGAGCGUGGAAUUCCUGGUGUAGCGGUGAAAUGCGCAGAUAUCGGAAGGAACAUCAGUGGCGAAAGCGGCUUCCUGGACCAGUACCGACGUUCAGGCACGAAAGCGUGGGGAGCAAACAGG
rnacentral:rRNA from 1 species